rnacentral:rRNA from 1 species
GUGCCAGCCGCCGCGGUAAUACGAAGGGGGCUAGCGUUGCUCGGAAUCACUGGGCGUAAAGCGCACGUAGGCGGGUUGCCAAGUCGGGGGUGAAAUCCUGGAGCUCAACUCCAGAACUGCCUUCGAUACUGGCGAUCUUGGAGUCCGGGAGAGGUGAGUGGAACUGCGAGUGUAGAGGUGAAAUUCGUAGAUAUUCGCAAGAACACCAGUGGCGAAGGCGGCUCACUGGCCCGGUACUGACGCUGAGGUGCGAAAGCGUGGGGAGCAAACAGGAUUAGAUACCCCAGUAGUCC